rnacentral:rRNA from 1 species
GCCUGGCGGGUGCUAUACUGCAGUCGAGCGGACAGAUGGGAGCUUGCUCCCUGAAGUCAGCGGCGGACGGGUGAGUAACACGUGGGCAACCUGCCUGUAAGACUGGGAUAACUCCGGGAAACCGGGCUAAUACCGGAUAAUUCUUUCCCUCACAUGAGGGAAAGCUGAAAGAUGGUUUCGGCUAUCACUUACAGAUGGGCCCGCGGCGCAUUAGCUAGUUGGUGAGGUAACGGCUCACCAAGGCAACGAUGCGUAGCCGACCUGAGAGGGUGAUCGGCCACACUGGGACUGAGACACGGCCCAGACUCCUACGGGAGGCAGCAGUAGGAAUCUUCCGCAAUGGACGAAAGUCUGACGGAGCAACGCCGCGUGAGUGAUGAAGGUUUUCGGAUCGUAAAACUCUGUUGUUAGGGAAGAACAAGUACCGGAGUAACUGCCGGUACCUUGACGGUACCUAACCAGAAAGCCACGGCUAACUACGUGCCAGCAGCCGCGGUAAUACGUAGGUGGCAAGCGUUGUCCGGAAUUAUUGGGCGUAAAGCGCGCGCAGGCGGUUCCUUAAGUCUGAUGUGAAAGCCCCCGGCUCAACCGGGGAGGGUCAUUGGAAACUGGGGAACUUG